AUUGAACGCUGGCGGCAGGCCUAACACAUGCAAGUCGAGCGGUAGCACAGAGAGCUUGCUCUCGGGUGACGAGCGGCGGACGGGUGAGUAAUGUCUGGGAAACUGCCUGAUGGAGGGGGAUAACUACUGGAAACGGUAGCUAAUACCGCAUAACGUCGCAAGACCAAAGUGGGGGACCUUCGGGCCUCAUGCCAUCAGAUGUGCCCAGAUGGGAUUAGCUAGUAGGUGGGGUAACGGCUCACCUAGGCGACGAUCCCUAGCUGGUCUGAGAGGAUGACCAGCCACACUGGAACUGAGACACGGUCCAGACUCCUACGGGAGGCAGCAGUGGGGAAUAUUGCACAAUGGGCGCAAGCCUGAUGCAGCCAUGCCGCGUGUGUGAAGAAGGCCUUCGGGUUGUAAAGCACUUUCAGCGGGGAGGAAGGCGGUGAGGUUAAUAACCUCAUCGAUUGACGUUACCCGCAGAAGAAGCACCGGCUAACUCCGUGCCAGCAGCCGCGGUAAUACGGAGGGUGCAAGCGUUAAUCGGAAUUACUGGGCGUAAAGCGCACGCAGGCGGUCUGUCAAGUCGGAUGUGAAAUCCCCGGGCUCAACCUGGGAACUGCAUUCGAAACUGGCAGGCUAGAGUCUUGUAGAGGGGGGGUAGAAUUCCAGGUGUAGCGGUGAAAUGCGUAGAGAUCUGGAGGAAUACCGGUGGCGAAGGCGGCCCCCUGGACAAAGACUGACGCUCAGGUGCGAGAGCGUGGGGAGCAAACAGGAUUAGAUACCCUGGUAGUCCACGCCGUAAACGAUGUCGAUUUGGAGGUUGUGCCCUUGAGGCGUGGCUUCCGGAGCUAACGCGUUAAAUCGACCGCCUGGGGAGUACGGCCGCAAGGUUAAAACUCAAAUGAAUUGACGGGGGCCCGCACAAGCGGUGGAGCAUGUGGUUUAAUUCGAUGCAACGCGAAGAACCUUACCUGGUCUUGACAUCCACAGAACUUUCCAGAGAUGGAUUGGUGCCUUCGGGAACUGUGAGACAGGUGCUGCAUGGCUGUCGUCAGCUCGUGUUGUGAAAUGUUGGGUUAAGUCCCGCAACGAGCGCAACCCUUAUCCUUUGUUGCCAGCGGUUAGGCCGGGAACUCAAAGGAGACUGCCAGUGAUAAACUGGAGGAAGGUGGGGAUGACGUCAAGUCAUCAUGGCCCUUACGACCAGGGCUACACACGUGCUACAAUGGCAUAUACAAAGAGAAGCGACCUCGCGAGAGCAAGCGGACCUCAUAAAGUAUGUCGUAGUCCGGAUUGGAGUCUGCAACUCGACUCCAUGAAGUCGGAAUCGCUAGUAAUCGUAGAUCAGAAUGCUACGGUGAAUACGUUCCCGGGCCUUGUACACACCGCCCGUCACACCAUGGGAGUGGGUUGCAAAAGAAGUAGGUAGCUUAACCUUCGGGAGGGCGCUUACCACUUUGUGAUUCAUGACUGGGGUGA
rnacentral:rRNA from 1 species